UACGGAGGGGGUUAGCGUUGUUCGGAAUUACUGGGCGUAAAGACGCGCGUAGGCGGAUUAGUCAGUUAGAGGUGAAAUACCCACGGGCUCAACCCUGGAACUGCCUUUAAUUACUGCUAGUCUUGAGUUCGAGAGAGGUGAGUGGAAUUCCGAGUGUAGAGGUGAAAUUACGUAGAUAUUCGGAGGAACACCAGUGGCGAAGGCGGCUCACUGGCUCGAUACUGACGCUGAGGUGCGAAAGUGUGGGGAGCAAACAGGAUUAGAUACCCUGGUAG
rnacentral:rRNA from 1 species